UACGUAGGGGGCAAGCGUUGUCCGGAUUUAUUGGGCGUAAAGAGCGUGUAGGCGGCCAGGUAGGUCUGGUGUGAAAACUCGAGGCUUAACCUCGAGAUGUCAUCGGAAACCAUUUGGCUAGAGUCCGGAAGAGGAGAGUGGAAUUCCUGGUGUAGCGGUGAAAUGCGCAGAUAUCAGGAGGAACACCGGUGGCGAAGGCGGAUCUCUGGGCCUUACCUGACGCUGAGGCGCGAAAGCUAGGGGAGCGAACAGG
rnacentral:rRNA from 1 species